GUUUGCUAGGGAUGGGGGUAAAAGUGUGACUCCAAUCAGGCCCUAGGGAUGGGGGUAAAAGUGUGACUCCAAUCAGGCCCUAGGUAUGGGGGUAAAAGUGUGACUCCAAUCAGGCCCCCGAGGACUGGAAUAGCCCAGGCCUGUUGUCGAUGAAAGGGAGGAGACAGGUAAAAAUAUAUAUUUUCAAGCGUUGAGAUAAUUGAGACAUGGAUUGUGUAUGUGUGCCAUUCAGAGGGUGAAUGGACAAGACAAAAGAGUGCCUUUGGGAUAUGGUAGUUGGUGACAGGCUCACCGGUUUAAGUGUGUCGAACUGCAAUGCUGCUGGGUUUUUCACGCUCAACAGGGAAUAGGGUGCACUAUUUAGGGAAUAACGUGCACUAUUUAGGGAAUAGGGUGCAAUAUUUAGGGAAUAGGGUGCACUAUUUAAGGAAUAGCGUGCACCAUCUAGGGAAUAGCGUGCACUAUCUAGGGAAUAGCGUGCACCAUCUAGGGAAUAGCGUGCACUAUCUAGGGGAUAGCAUGCACCAUCUAGGGAAUAGCGUGCACUAUCUAGGGGAUAGCAUGCACCAUCUAGGGAAUAGCGUGCACUAUCUAGGGGAUAGCAUGCACCAUCUAGGGAAUAGGGUGCACUAUCUAGGGAAUAGGGUGCCAUUUGGGUAACUUCUCAGUCAAAAGCCGACAUGGCUCAGCUCCUAUAGAUACCGAUGUUGUGGCGCCCCCUGGUGGAACAGUCAAAGGUCAUCUGUGUUUUAGUUACACUGUUAUGUGUUAGUAACAGGCAGUAGUAGUUGGUUACAGCAGUUGUAGACACACACACACACACACACACAGUGGUGUAAAGUAACCAAGUACUUUAAGUAUUUUUUGGGGGUAUCUGUACUUUACAUUACUAUUUAUAUUUACUCCGCUACAUUUACGAGGAGGACAGUUUGUGAAUGAUGUCUGAGUGUCGGAGCGUGCCCCUAGCCAGGGCCGUAACCAGGGAGAUUUAAGUCAGGGAGGACAGUUUGUGAAUGAUGUCUGAGUGUCGGAGCGUGCCCCUAGCCAGGGCCGUAACCUGGGAGAUUUAGGUCAGGGAGGACAGUUUGUGAAUGAUGUCUGAGUGUCGGAGCGUGCCCCUAGCCAGGGCCGUAACCAGGGAGAUUUAGGUCAGGGAGGACAGUUUGUGAAUGAUGUCUGAGUGUCGGAGCGUGCCCCUAGCCAGGGCCGUAACCUGGGAGAUUUAGGUCAGGGAGGACAGUUUGUGAAUGAUGUCUGAGUGUCGGAGCGUGCCCCUAGCCAGGGCCGUAACCUGGGAGAUUUAGGUCAGGGAGGACAGUUUGUGAAAGUGGAACUCAUUUAUUACAUUUACAUACAAUUAAAAAAUGUUAAAACGCUGUUUGGAGAACAGCAACAACAAGCGAAAAUGCCCCCAGCCAUUAUCACCUCGGCUGCUGUAGAUUCAUUCACCUCAGGAGAUCUACAAACACGUUUGUAUUUCAUUUUUAGAACUGUAUUGUUUGCUUUCUGAUUAUAUUUUAAUAGGAUCUGUGGAGAUGUUCCUAUUGAAACAUACAGGGGUUGUAGUUUAAUGUCGGCCCGUGGGGAAGAUAGGUCCUGUGGAGAUGUUCCUAUUGAAACAUACAGGGGUUGUAGCUUAAUGUCGGCCCGUGGGGAAGAUAGGUCCUGUGGAGAUGUUCCUAUUGAAACAUACAGGGGUUGUAUUUUAAUGUCUGCCCGUGGGGAAGAUAGGUCCUGUGGAGAUGUUCCUAUUGAAACAUACAGUGGUUGUAUUUUAAUGUCUGCCCGUGGGGAAGAUAGGUCCUGUGGAGAUGUUCCUAUUGAAACAUACAGUGGUUGUAUUUUAAUGUCGGCCCGUGGGGAAGAUGGGUCCUGUGGAGAUGUUCCUAUUGAAACAUACAGUGGUUGUAUUUUAAUGUUGGCCCGUGGGGAAGAUGGGUCCUGUGGAGAUGUUCCUAUUGAAACAUACAGUGGUUGUAUUUUAAUGUAGACCUAUAGGGAAGAUAGGUCCUGUGGAGAUGUUCAUAUUGAUACAGUGGUUGUAUUUUAAUGUAGACCUAUAGGGAAGAUACAGUAUAUCACAAAAGUGAGUACACCCCUCACAUUUUUGUAAAUAUUUGAGUAUAUAUUUUCAUGUGACAACACUGAAGAAAUGACACUUUGCUACAAUGUAAAGUAGUGAGUGUACAGCUUGUAUAACAGUGUACAUUUGCUGUCCCCUCAAAAUAACUCCACACACAGCCAUUAAUGUCUAAACCGCUGGCAACAAAAGUGAGUACACCCCUAAGUGAAAAUGUCCAAAUUGGGCCCAAAGUGUCAAUAUUUUGUGGCCACCAUAAUUUUCCAGCACUGCCUUAUGGAGUUCACCAGAGCUUCACAGGUUGCCACUGGAGUCCUCCUCCAUGACGACAUCACGGAGCUGGUGGAUGUUAGAGACCUUGCACUCCUCCACCUUCCGUUUGAGGAUGCCCCACAGAUGCUCAAUAGGGUUUAGGUCUGGAGACAUGCUUGGCCAGUCCAUCACCUUUACCCUCAGCUUCUUUAGCAAGGCAGUGGUCGUCUUGGAGAGGUGUGUUUGGGGUCGUUAUCAUGUUGAAAUACUGCCCUGCAGCCCAGUCUCUGAAGGGAGGGGAUCAUGCUCUGCUUCAGUAUUUCAUUUUCUAUGAAGGUAUCUUUACUUUCACUGAAGUAUGACAAUUGGGUACUUUUUCCACCACUCUACACACACACACACACACACACACACACGGCUAUAUUUGCUCACUCAUCACCUCUCUACACUGGGCCGUUUUGUGUUGAAACUGUUGGGCCUUUUUCCAUGGUGUAAACAACAUAUCCAAAUCUCGUUUCCUCCCCGUUGUCUAGUACGUUGGGUUACAAAUGUUUAUCAUGAAAAUAUGUACAGUACCACGAUGUAGCUAGCGGACUUAAUGGAUCAGGAAAUGUAAUGUGAAUGUUACCCAGAACAAUGAGGCCAUUAUAAAUGAUAUACAUUAUAUACAUUAAAAGGACAGACAUGUGCAGGUUUGAAAAGGGGCAAAACAAAUCCCUCCACUCCCACAUCUCCGCAUGUUGUGUUACAUUAUAGAGGUCAACCUCUAAUACACUAUAUAAUGUGACUUUCCAAAUGGCCCCCUAUUCCGCCCUAUAGGCCCUGGUCAUAAGUAGCACACUAUAAAGGGAAUAGAGUGAAAUUUGGGACUAAACAGGGAAUAGGGUGCUAUUUGAGACUAAAUAGACAAUAAGGUGCUAUUUGGGACUAAAUAGACAAUAGGGUGCUAUUUGAGACUAAAUAGACAAUAGGGUGCUAUUUGGGACUAAAUAGACAAUAGGGUGCUAUUUGGGACUAAAUAGACAAUAGGGUGCUAUUUGGGACUAAAU
ensembl:lncRNA